rnacentral:rRNA from 1 species
UACGGGGGAGCAAGCGUUGUUCGGAUUACUGGGCGUAAAGGGCGCGUAGGCGGUCGUGACAAGUCACUUGUGAAAUCUCCGGGCUUAACUCGGAACGGUCAAGUGAUACUGUCGGACUAGAGUACAGAAGGGGCAACUGGAAUUCUCGGUGUAGCGGUGAAAUGCGUAGAUAUCGAGAGGAACACCUGCGGCGAAGGCGGGUUGCUGGGCUGAUACUGACGCUGAGGCGCGAAAGCCAGGGGAGCGAACGGG